rnacentral:lncRNA from 1 species
AUCAACUUUGAGAAUUGAGAUAGAGCAUCUUUGAGAAUUGGGGUGAAAGCACUUACGAGAGAGAAAAGAGAUAGGAUUUAGAACUUUAAAACAUAUAGAGAAAGUUUUUUUUUUAAUUUUAGGGUUUUUUUAACUUUUGGAAAUGAAAAAUAUAACCUCUAACGGUUAUAAAUUUGGAAACAAGAAAAAUCGGCCGCUUUGACCCAUUUCUCGGCUGCUCCACCGCCACUCUGACCUAGAUUUCAUGCCAUCCGUGCGACCAUUUGCAUCGUUCC